rnacentral:misc_RNA from 1 species
AAGGAUCAUUAAUGAAACGUUUGUCGAGAAGGGUUGUUGCUGGCCUCCAGGGGCAUGUGCACGCCUUGAUCGCAUCCACCUCUCACACCUGUGCACAACCUGUAGCUUGGGAUGAUUACGGGACCCUUCACGGGGUAACGAAUGCCCUCGCUAUGAAUAUUUUACACACACUAUAAAGUUUAAUCGAAUGUAAAGUUAUAGCGUCUAAAAGCGCGAAAAAUACAACUUUCAGCAACGGAUCUCUUGGCUCUC